GACAGAGGGUGCAAGCGUUAAUCGGACUUACUGGGCGUAAAGGGCGCGUAGGCGGCCUUUUAAGUCGAAUGUGAAAAGCCUGGGCUUAACCUAGGUCGUGCAUGCGAUACUGGAAGGCUAGAGUCGUGGAGAGGGAAGUGGAAUUUCCGGUGUAGCGGUGAAAUGCGUAGAUAUCGGAAAGAACACCAGUGGCGAAGGCGGCUUCCUGGCCACAGACUGACGCUGAGGCGCGAAAGCGUGGGGAGCAAACAGG
rnacentral:misc_RNA from 1 species